GGUCAGAGAAACUCUCUCACCAGUGCUGGCCUUGAAGAAACAAGCUGCCAUGUUGUGAGAGGACCUGUGGAGAAGGCCAUGCAACAAGAAACUGCAGAUGGCCUUCAGGAGCUGAGUAUUCCCCUGGCCAAUAGGCAGCAAGAAAGUGGGACCUUAAACCUGCAAUAAUGAGGAGAUGAAUUCUGCCAACAACCUGAGGGAGUGUGGAGGGAAACCUUUCCCCAGUCAAGUCUCUGAUGAGAACAGAGCUCUGACUGUUCCUGGAUUACAGCCUUGUGAGACCUGAAGUAGAGGGCUCAGCUGAGCUGUGCCUGUAGGAUUUGUGAUCUAUAGAAAUUGCAAAAUAAUGUGUUGUUUUAAGCCAUUAAUUUUUGGUUAUUUGUUUGGCAGCAUAAAAUACUAAUGCACUUGGCGUCAAGAGAGUAGAUCCAGACAUUUCCUGGGGAUUUCUUCUAGUAACAUGAUUUGCUAUCAUAGGAAGAACAAUCAUGGUUGGGUCACUGAGCAUCGGAAGAGUGGGACCAGAACAAAACCAGUGCUGACUUAGCAUCUUCACUUCAGAAGAAGCUUAUUGGUUUCAAGUCUCACCACUUCCCAUUCCCCUGAUAAGAAAGCCCAGAUGCUCCUGCCUUUGGCACCAGCCAAAAGACACAAGUCCAAAACCACAGGAGCCCAAGCCAGCCUCCUUUCCCUGCUCCCUCAAGCCACUUUAGAACACCUUGGGGACCUGCCCCACUCUCCCCGGAGAGAGACCAGAGCACAGCUUAUAUAAGCCGGAGAACUGAAAAGAAAAGAUGAAAUGCCUUUUAGCAGUCAGCGUGUGUGUAAGAGAAUGAGACUCUUCCUGAGAUUUCCUGUAAUUAUUUGGAAGGAAUGAGAAGUCGUCUGGAACCAGAGAAAGACCAUUUUGAGGCUGUCGUUCUUCCCGUAGGCAGGGGAGGCCUGAGAAGCUAUGGUUACAGUAAAUGGGCUGGUGAGGUCACUGGUCUUGGGACGCUUUCCUUUGGCGACAUGAAAGGUAGAGCCUUUUUUCAGUUGUUUCCAGUGGUUGUUUUAUUUAGCUGAUCUCAAAUGGAACCUAAUAGACCUACCUAAUGGUUUCAAACAGCAUUGAUUUGGUUCUUUCUUAGACUGAAGUGCCAAUGUUCAGAGCUUUGACGUUUGGUGAGCGCUUCCCCAUUCUUUCCCCUUCCCUGACACCAUGGCCCUGCAUUCCACCCUUGCUAGGCAGUCUGCUCCUCAAGUGAAGGGACCCUGCCUCAUUCUUCUUUGUACCUUCAGAAGCUAGCUCUGUGCCAGACACCUGUUUGUUAGAUGAAUGAAUGAAUUACACAGAGCACCAGGUUCAGAUCAAUAAGCAAUGCCAUGGAAAAUAAGGAAAAAUAAAAGGGGUCAUUCAAUGUGUGGUCGCUCACAAACACUGUACACUUCUCAGUGUUUAGUAGCGGGUGUGUAUAGGGCUACUCACAUAUUGAUUGCUCUGUUAUUCCCAUCAAAUUAGUCAUUUGAGAUGCCAACUUUAAUUUGCUGGAGUGGCUCUUUUUCAACAUAACUCUGAAGAAAAAAAAACAAGGCACCAUAACACUUUCCUGACAUAACAGCAUCAAAGGCCCCUGCUUACAGGAUAUUACCUAGAUCUGUGAAUGUGGCCGGGGCCCACCCGGCCAUUCAUUGGUUACAAUGUUGUAUUUCUCCCACAUGAUAUGGAAAAUGCAUGUUUUGAGAAGAAAUUGAAAGCACUUCCUUACCCGCAUAGACGUCUCAUUUUGACCUCUGGUGGGGGUUGAGUCGCCAGUUUGGCUGAGGGUGCUUACCCUCACCUUUCUCCCAAACGCGGUCAGGGAGAAGCUAGGCCUCCUUUGUCUCGUUUGUCUGUCUAGGCGUGUAACUGCAAUGGAGGAGGUACUGCUUUUCCUUGAACUACUCCCAUUUUCCUUGAGUUCAGAGGAAAUCCACUGUGGGUUGGCUCCACUGAGGCGUCAGAGGAUGUCAGAAUGGCAUCUAGAGCAGAGUCUCUUGCUGGUCUCUUUCUCUCUGUGGACUGGCAUCAGUUAUCUGAAUUUCCUAGCAAGGCUCAAAGGGGAGUGGGAGAGAGAGGGCCCAAGCAGCAGCAUCUUAGUGGAUAGGUCAGAAGCAAGCAAGAGGAGGGAAAUAUGCCCAAGGGCCUGCACUGGAGCAACAUUGAUCUAGAAAAUUCCUAUCUCUGAGAUCCCAGUUAAUCGUGCAUUAACAGCAGUUUAAAGGCCUCCUGCUUCUCUUUAAGUAAGCAUUGUAAGUUAUCUGCUUUUCAAAUUACUUUGGAAACAAACUCGAGUAGAAAGCAUCAUCAUAGCCUGGGUCUGGCAUAGAGUGCAUUAGCUUUGCCAUCGCCCUGCUGAUUUAAUUGGCCCAGUAAGCACGCUUGAGGUGUUUGGGAUUGUAAUUAAAGUUGUGGUGCCUGGAAAAUCCUCCGUCUGUUAUUAUAAUUUUUUUCUAAAAUAAACUAUCCUAGC
rnacentral:lncRNA from 1 species